rnacentral:rRNA from 1 species
UACGAAGGGUGCUAGCGUUGUUCGGAAUCACUGGGCGUAAAGCGCGCGUAGGUGGCUUUUUAAGUCAGAGGUGAAAGCCUGGAGCUUAACUCCAGAACUGCCUUUGAAACUGAAAAGCUCGAGUCUUGGAGAGGAUACUGGAAUUUCUAAUGUAGCGGUGAAAUGCGUAGAUAUUAGAAGGAACACCAAUGGCGAAGGCAGGUAUCUGGACAAGCACUGACACUGAGGCGCGAAAGCGUGGGGAUCAAACAGG